GGUAGUCGAAUGGCCUUUGGUCCCCGUCUAGGUUCCCUCGAUUCUCCUUCGCCUCGUUUGCGGUGGUGAAUACCGUGCGGGCGUCUACGUUUUCCAUCCGAGCCCUUGUCCCCGUCUUGGCGCUUCUUCUCGUGAUGGUGCGUGGAUGCUUCCGUCACGCCCUUGGGUACGGAUGAUUCGUUGGUAUUCUCGCUGCGGUCUUUGCCGUCCGGAGCGAGAUCCCGAUGUGUCGAAGCAUCAACGCUUCUGCCCGCGUGACCCUCGUGCCCGCGUAGGCUGUCGUGGGGACUCCUCCGUCCCGCGUUCGGCUUGCGU
rnacentral:misc_RNA from 1 species